GACGAACGCUGGCGGCGUGCUUAACACAUGCAAGUCGAACGGAAAGGCCCUGCUUUUGUGGGGUGCUCGAGUGGCGAACGGGUGAGUAACACGUGAGUAACCUGCCCUUGACUUUGGGAUAACUUCGGGAAACUGGGGCUAAUACCGGAUAGGAGCUCCUGCUGCAUGGUGGGGGUUGGAAAGUUUCGGCGGUUGGGGAUGGACUCGCGGCUUAUCAGCUUGUUGGUGGGGUAGUGGCUUACCAAGGCUUUGACGGGUAGCCGGCCUGAGAGGGUGACCGGCCACAUUGGGACUGAGAUACGGCCCAGACUCCUACGGGAGGCAGCAGUGGGGAAUAUUGCACAAUGGGCGGAAGCCUGAUGCAGCAACGCCGCGUGCGGGAUGACGGCCUUCGGGUUGUAAACCGCUUUCGCCUGUGACGAAGCGUGAGUGACGGUAAUGGGUAAAGAAGCACCGGCUAACUACGUGCCAGCAGCCGCGGUGAUACGUAGGGUGCGAGCGUUGUCCGGAUUUAUUGGGCGUAAAGGGCUCGUAGGUGGUUGAUCGCGUCGGAAGUGUAAUCUUGGGGCUUAACCCUGAGCGUGCUUUCGAUACGGGUUGACUUGAGGAAGGUAGGGGAGAAUGGAAUUCCUGGUGGAGCGGUGGAAUGCGCAGAUAUCAGGAGGAACACCAGUGGCGAAGGCGGUUCUCUGGGCCUUUCCUGACGCUGAGGAGCGAAAGCGUGGGGAGCGAACAGGCUUAGAUACCCUGGUAGUCCACGCUGUAAACGGUGGGUACUAGGUGUGGGGUCCAUUCCACGGGUUCCGUGCCGUAGCUAACGCUUUAAGUACCCCGCCUGGGGAGUACGGCCGCAAGGCUAAAACUCAAAGGAAUUGACGGGGCCCCGCACAAGCGGCGGAGCAUGCGGAUUAAUUCGAUGCAACGCGUUGAACCUUACCUGGGUUUGACAUGGAUCGGGAGCGCUCAGAGAUGGGUGUGCCUCUUUUGGGGUCGGUUCACAGGUGGUGCAUGGCUGUCGUCAGCUCGUGUCGUGAGAUGUUGGGUUAAGUCCCGCAACGAGCGCAACCCUUGUUCACUGUUGCCAGCACGUUAUGGUGGGGACUCAGUGGAGACCGCCGGGGUCAACUCGGAGGAAGGUGGGGAUGACGUCAAGUCAUCAUGCCCCUUAUGUCCAGGGCUUCACGCAUGCUACAAUGGCUGGUACAGAGAGUGGCGAGCCUGUGAGGGUGAGCGAAUCUCGGAAAGCCGGUCUCAGUUCGGAUUGGGGUCUGCAACUCGACCUCAUGAAGUCGGAGUCGCUAGUAAUCGCAGAUCAGCAACGCUGCGGUGAAUACGUUCCCGGGGCU
rnacentral:rRNA from 1 species